UUGCACGCUGGCGGCAGGCCUAACCCCUGCAAGUCGCGCGGAUGAAGGGAGCUUGCUCCUGGAUUCAGCGGCGGACGGGUGAGUAAUGCCUAGGAAUCUGCCUGGUAGUGGGGGAUAACGUCCGGAAACGGGCGCUAAUACCGCAUACGUCCUGAGGGAGAAAGUGGGUGAUCUUCGGACCUCACGCUAUCAGAUGAGCCUAGGUCGGAUUAGCUAGUUGGUGGGGUAAAGGCCUACCAAGGCGACGAUCCGUAACUGGUCUGAGAGGAUGAUCAGUCACACUGGAACUGAGACACGGUCCAGACUCCUACGGGAGGCAGCAGUGGGGAAUAUUGGACAAUGGGCGAAAGCCUGAUCCAGCCAUGCCGCGUGUGUGAAGAAGGUCUUCGGAUUGUAAAGCACUUUAAGUUGGGAGGAAGGGCAGUAAGUUAAUACCUUGCUGUUUUGACGUUACCAACAGAAUAAGCACCGGCUAACUUCGU
rnacentral:rRNA from 1 species